UUCAAGAGUGACAGAACAGUGUAAUGAACUUAAAAUUCAUAAAUAAAGAAAUUUCCUUGAAA
rnacentral:tRNA from 1 species